rnacentral:antisense_RNA from 1 species
AGAGCCUGGUGUCAAUUAUUUGCAGUUUGUACAACGAAAGGCUAAAAAUUUGGGAGAUGCAGGAUGACUGAAGCCCGAUUCUGGGGGUUGUUAUAGCACAGUUACAGGGCCUUCCUCACACCCAUGCCUUCAGAUACCCAAGGCCUUUAAUACCCGAGUCCUUCCAGGAUUCUGCACAUCUCAUUAGCUUCAUAUUCCUUUUUUCCUCUGAGCAUCUUACUAGAGGGUCUGGAAUAUGCAUGGAUGAGAUGCCCUCUUUCCUGACCAUACUUAAUAAUAAAGAUGCUGGGACUCAAGAGGAACUAAGCAGUGUAUAUUUUGCACGUAUCCACUUGAUGCAAUGAAUCUUUUGGCUUCAGAGCUACAUGUUGAAGAUGAAGGAGCCAUAGUGUGGAAAAGCCAAAGUUCCUGAAUCACUGACCAGGGGAGAGUUGCCCAUUAGCCAGGAUGACUGGCUUUAGACUUUCUGACAAAAGGGUUUGCUGUCAGAAGGAAAAGCUCUGAGUCAUUCUUUAGAAAAGGUGAACAGAGGAUAUGCAACCACAAGCCAAAGGUCUGAAUAGCCCAUGUGAAGGCAGCAUUUGAGAGAACUUAUCUGCCACAUGCUGAUUCCUCUCACCGCGGGAAGAAACCAACGUACCCUGGGGAGCCUGAGAGCUCUUUGAGUAUCUGGGGGUGAAUCAACUAAUCUGAUUAAUUGUUUUCAGAGUUAAAAAGGCUUAGUCCUGGAAAAGUAGAAGAGGUGAAAACCUGCCUGGGGAGGCUGCUGAAGGACGCCAGGAAGAAUUCUUAUCUCCAAAUUCAAUCCUGCCUCCCAGCUAGCUGCUGGUGUUUGAACUUCCAACUCUGAAGUGUUAGUCUGGUAUCUUCUUUUAAAAUGUAGAAGAGAGUAAACAAAGUUAUUCACA